GAUGAACGCUGGCGGCGUGCCUAAUACAUGCAAGUCGAGCGAACAGACGAGGAGCUUGCUCCUCUGACGUUAGCGGCGGACGGGUGAGUAACACGUGGAUAACCUACCUAUAAGACUGGGAUAACUUCGGGAAACCGGAGCUAAUACCGGAUAAUAUAUUGAACCGCAUGGUUCAAUAGUGAAAGACGGUUUUGCUGUCACUUAUAGAUGGAUCCGCGCCGCAUUAGCUAGUUGGUAAGGUAACGGCUUACCAAGGCGACGAUGCGUAGCCGACCUGAGAGGGUGAUCGGCCACACUGUAACUGAGACACGGUCCAGACUCCUACGGGAGGCAGCAGUAGGGAACCUUCCGCAAUGGGCGAAAGCCUGACGGAGCAACGCCGCGUGAGUGAUGAAGGUCUUCGGAUCGUAAAACUCUGUUAUUAGGGAAGAACAAAUGUGUAAGUAACUAUGCACGUCUUGACGGUACCUAAUCAGAAAGCCACGGCUAACUACGUG
rnacentral:rRNA from 1 species